UUAAGCGACUAAGCGUACACGGUGGAUGCCCUGGCAGUCAGAGGCGAUGAAGGACGUGCUAAUCUGCGAUAAGCGUCGGUAAGGUGAUAUGAACCGUUAUAACCGGCGAUUUCCGAAUGGGGAAACCCAGUGUGAUUCGUCACACUAUCAUUAACUGAAUCCAUAGGUUAAUGAGGCGAACCGGGGGAACUGAAACAUCUAAGUACCCCGAGGAAAAGAAAUCAACCGAGAUUCCCCCAGUAGCGGCGAGCGAACGGGGAGCAGCCCAGAGCCUGAAUCAGUGUGUGUGUUAGUGGAAGCGUCUGGAAAGGCGUGCGAUACAGGGUGACAGCCCCGUACACAAAAAUGCACAUAUUGUGAGCUCGAUGAGUAGGGCGGGACACGUGGUAUCCUGUCUGAAUAUGGGGGGACCAUCCUCCAAGGCUAAAUACUCCUGACUGACCGAUAGUGAACCAGUACCGUGAGGGAAAGGCGAAAAGAACCCCGGCGAGGGGAGUGAAAAAGAACCUGAAACCGUGUACGUACAAGCAGUGGGAGCACGCUUAGGCGUGUGACUGCGUACCUUUUGUAUAAUGGGUCAGCGACUUAUAUUCUGUAGCAAGGUUAACCGAAUAGGGGAGCCGAAGGGAAACCGAGUCUUAACUGGGCGUUAAGUUGCAGGGUAUAGACCCGAAACCCGGUGAUCUAGCCAUGGGCAGGUUGAAGGUUGGGUAACACUAACUGGAGGACCGAACCGACUAAUGUUGAAAAAUUAGCGGAUGACUUGUGGCUGGGGGUGAAAGGCCAAUCAAACCGGGAGAUAGCUGGUUCUCCCCGAAAGCUAUUUAGGUAGCGCCUCGUGAAUUCAUCUCCGGGGGUAGAGCACUGUUUCGGCAAGGGGGUCAUCCCGACUUACCAACCCGAUGCAAACUGCGAAUACCGGAGAAUGUUAUCACGGGAGACACACGGCGGGUGCUAACGUCCGUCGUGAAGAGGGAAACAACCCAGACCGCCAGCUAAGGUCCCAAAGUCAUGGUUAAGUGGGAAACGAUGUGGGAAGGCCCAGACAGCCAGGAUGUUGGCUUAGAAGCAGCCAUCAUUUAAAGAAAGCGUAAUAGCUCACUGGUCGAGUCGGCCUGCGCGGAAGAUGUAACGGGGCUAAACCAUGCACCGAAGCUGCGGCAGCGACACUGUGUGUUGUUGGGUAGGGGAGCGUUCUGUAAGCCUGCGAAGGUGUGCUGUGAGGCAUGCUGGAGGUAUCAGAAGUGCGAAUGCUGACAUAAGUAACGAUAAAGCGGGUGAAAAGCCCGCUCGCCGGAAGACCAAGGGUUCCUGUCCAACGUUAAUCGGGGCAGGGUGAGUCGACCCCUAAGGCGAGGCCGAAAGGCGUAGUCGAUGGGAAACAGGUUAAUAUUCCUGUACUUGGUGUUACUGCGAAGGGGGGACGGAGAAGGCUAUGUUGGCCGGGCGACGGUUGUCCCGGUUUAAGCGUGUAGGCUGGUUUUCCAGGCAAAUCCGGAAAAUCAAGGCUGAGGCGUGAUGACGAGGCACUACGGUGCUGAAGCAACAAAUGCCCUGCUUCCAGGAAAAGCCUCUAAGCAUCAGGUAACAUCAAAUCGUACCCCAAACCGACACAGGUGGUCAGGUAGAGAAUACCAAGGCGCUUGAGAGAACUCGGGUGAAGGAACUAGGCAAAAUGGUGCCGUAACUUCGGGAGAAGGCACGCUGAUAUGUAGGUGAAGUCCCUCGCGGAUGGAGCUGAAAUCAGUCGAAGAUACCAGCUGGCUGCAACUGUUUAUUAAAAACACAGCACUGUGCAAACACGAAAGUGGACGUAUACGGUGUGACGCCUGCCCGGUGCCGGAAGGUUAAUUGAUGGGGUCAGCGCAAGCGAAGCUCUUGAUCGAAGCCCCGGUAAACGGCGGCCGUAACUAUAACGGUCCUAAGGUAGCGAAAUUCCUUGUCGGGUAAGUUCCGACCUGCACGAAUGGCGUAAUGAUGGCCAGGCUGUCUCCACCCGAGACUCAGUGAAAUUGAACUCGCUGUGAAGAUGCAGUGUACCCGCGGCAAGACGGAAAGACCCCGUGAACCUUUACUAUAGCUUGACACUGAACAUUGAGCCUUGAUGUGUAGGAUAGGUGGGAGGCUUUGAAGUGUGGACGCCAGUCUGCAUGGAGCCGACCUUGAAAUACCACCCUUUAAUGUUUGAUGUUCUAACGUGGACCCGUAAUCCGGGUUGCGGACAGUGUCUGGUGGGUAGUUUGACUGGGGCGGUCUCCUCCUAAAGAGUAACGGAGGAGCACGAAGGUUGGCUAAUCCUGGUCGGACAUCAGGAGGUUAGUGCAAUGGCAUAAGCCAGCUUGACUGCGAGCGUGACGGCGCGAGCAGGUGCGAAAGCAGGUCAUAGUGAUCCGGUGGUUCUGAAUGGAAGGGCCAUCGCUCAACGGAUAAAAGGUACUCCGGGGAUAACAGGCUGAUACCGCCCAAGAGUUCAUAUCGACGGCGGUGUUUGGCACCUCGAUGUCGGCUCAUCACAUCCUGGGGCUGAAGUAGGUCCCAAGGGUAUGGCUGUUCGCCAUUUAAAGUGGUACGCGAGCUGGGUUUAGAACGUCGUGAGACAGUUCGGUCCCUAUCUGCCGUGGGCGCUGGAGAACUGAGGGGGGCUGCUCCUAGUACGAGAGGACCGGAGUGGACGCAUCACUGGUGUUCGGGUUGUCAUGCCAAUGGCACUGCCCGGUAGCUAAAUGCGGAAGAGAUAAGUGCUGAAAGCAUCUAAGCACGAAACUUGCCCCGAGAUGAGUUCUCCCUGACUCCUUGAGAGUCCUGAAGGAACGUUGAAGACGACGACGUUGAUAGGCCGGGUGUGUAAGCGCAGCGAUGCGUUGAGCUAACCGGUACUAAUGAACCGUGAGGCUUAACCU
rnacentral:rRNA from 1 species